rnacentral:rRNA from 1 species
GAUGGACGCUGGCGGCGUGCCUAAUACAUGCAAGUCGAGCGAACGGACGAGAAGCUUGCUUUUCUGAUGUUAGCGGCGGACGGGUGAGUAACACGUGGAUAACCUACCUAUAAGACUGGGAUAACUUCGGGAAACCGGAGCUAAUACCGGAUAAUAUUUUGAACCGCAUGGUUCAAAAGUGAAAGACGGUCUUGCUGUCACUUAUAGAUGGAUCCGCGCUGCAUUAGCUAGUUGGUAAGGUAACGGCUUACCAAGGCAACGAUGCAUAGCCGACCUGAGAGGGUGAUCGGCCACACUGGAACUGAGACACGGUCCAGACUCCUACGGGAGGCAGCAGUAGGGAAUCUUCCGCAAUGGGCGAAAGCCUGACGGAGCAACGCCGCGUGAGUGAUGAAGGUCUUCGGAUCGUAAAACUCUGUUAUUAGGGAAGAACAUAUGUGUAAGUAACUGUGCACAUCUUGACGGUACCUAAUCAGAAAGCCACGGCUAACUACGUGCCAGCAGCCGCGGUAAUACGUAGGUGGCAAGCGUUAUCCGGAAUUAUUGGGCGUAAAGCGCGCGUAGGCGGUUUUUUAAGUCUGAUGUGAAAGCCCACGGCUCAACCGUGGAGGGUCAUUGGAAACUGGAAAACUUGAGUGCAGAAGAGGAAAGUGGAAUUCCAUGUGUAGCGGUGAAAUGCGCAGAGAUAUGGAGGAACACCAGUGGCGAAGGCGACUUUCUGGUCUGUAACUGACGCUGAUGUGCGAAAGCGUGGGGAUCAAACAGGAUUAGAUACCCUGGUAGUCCACGCCGUAAACGAUGAGUGCUAAGUGUUAGGGGGUUUCCGCCCCUUAGUGCUGCAGCUAACGCAUUAAGCACUCCGCCUGGGGAGUACGACCGCAAGGUUGAAACUCAAAGGAAUUGACGGGGACCCGCACAAGCGGUGGAGCAUGUGGUUUAAUUCGAAGCAACGCGAAGGACCUUACCAAAUCUUGACAUCCUUUAACAACUCUAGAGAUAGAGCCUUCCCCUUCGGGGGACAAAGUGACAGGUGGUGCAUGGUUGUCGUCAGCUCGUGUCGUGAGAUGUUGGGUUAAGUCCCGCAACGAGCGCAACCCUUAAGCUUAGUUGCCAUCAUUAAGUUGGGCACUCUAAGUUGACUGCCGGUGACAAACCGGAGGAAGGUGGGGAUGACGUCAAAUCAUCAUGCCCCUUAUGAUUUGGGCUACACACGUGCUACAAUGGACAAUACAAAGGGCAGCGAAACCGCGAGGUCAAGCAAAUCCCAUAAAGUUGUUCUCAGUUCGGAUUGUAGUCUGCAACUCGACUACAUGAAGCUGGAAUCGCUAGUAAUCGUAGAUCAGCAUGCUACGGUGAAUACGUUCCCGGGUCU